GGAGGAGUUGUUGUGGUGAGGGCAGCAGGGCCCUGCCUCCAGGAGUUUGGACUCAGCAGGCUAUGUCUUCUGGGAUUUAGUGCAUGGGCUCUCUCUCAUCCAGUGAAGAGGACUACGGAAUAGGAUAGAGGAGAGUAUGGCUGCAGAGUCACUAAUCAAGACCUCUGGAGACCAAGCAGGAAGCAGGCCCUGCAAACUGCUGAGAUUACAGGAUUGCAUCAUCUUUCCAGCACAGAUAUUGGAUUUUAAGAGAGCAGAAUUGGAAAUAGAAAGAAAUAAAUAUUAAGCUGAUAUAAGUUU